GGCAAGAGGAGCAGGUCCAGAAGGAAACUUCUUGGAACUAAGUAGUUUCCAAGAAUUGCUUCCUUUAUUUCAAAACCUGUCUCGCUCCAGGUUUAAGUUACUGAAACAUACCUCUUUGCCUUUAAAGUUCACUAAGCAGCACCGGUACCUCUUUUAAGCUGACAGAUCUGGAAGUAAUCAUAACUGAUACCAACUGUCUGCCGAGCAUUCCGCUAAAUGGCAUAAAUGAAGAAAAAAUAAAGAAAAUCAUUUUCCUGAACAGAAUGUCUUUUUUUCCUAAAAGGCUGGUACAGCGAUGGAGUUAGGAACCAGAGAAAUCGCAGACUUCAUCGGUUGGGAGAAACUGCCAAGUUCUCCUUUGGCAGACCCACAGCCAACAGCAGGCAGAAGACAGGAGAUGAUACUUCUGACAAAAUGAGAACUCCGGGAGAGUCCUAGUGCUCUGGAAAGCUGGAGAGGGCGCGUGGCUGAAAACAAGAUGGAUUUGGUGUGUGGUUUUCUAAGUGAGAGAUGUGUAAUCAUGCACAGGCAGCCAAGGAGCCUCCCAGGCUGGGAGAAAAACCUGUUGAUUUGCUAAGAAUACAGGCAGCAAGAGCCCGCUGGGUGCUGUAAAGAUUUGUUUAAGCAUUGUGAACACAGCAACACACCAUGUCCGACCUGCUCUACUCCACCUCCCCGUACCAUGCUGCUCGGCCUGGAACUCCUGAGACGCCCCACACCAAACCCAUGAAAGUGCCUAGCACUCUCUGCAGGCGGUCCGCUGCUUCAGGACAUGUCACCAGGCAAAACACAGAAAGGAUAGCUACGAUCCUGUCUUUGCUACAAGCGCAUCAUUAACCUGUCUUAGCUUCCCAUGUGCGAAGCACUUAGUAGCAGUAGUACUGUUGACGCCUGUUGCUGUCUGAUGAAAUUAUAAUAGCACAUGUCUGAGACAGUCCCUGG